AAAGUUCAGUUUGGAGAGUCUUUCAUGUUUGAGGAUGGGGGGAGGUUUAUUUUCUUUUUUUACAUAACUGAAAUAUUUCUUCCACUUACUUUUUAACCUUCAGCAGUUCUGGUUUUUUUUGCUAGCCUGCUACGUGUGGUUGCUCCUUAGUUACCAUGACACCCACUAAUGUGCAGAAGGUUAGAGCCCAAGAACAGAAAACAGCAGAGUCACAUGAGAAGAUGGACAAGUUGUCAAGCAGAUAACUCUAAAAAGCACACAGAGGCUCUUUGGCUGACGUAAAUCAGUGUAGCACCAUUGAAGUCAGAGUUAUAAAUCUCUCUCUCUGACUUGGUAAAUACCUUCAGGGAUCAGAGCUGCACCUGCAAUUCUGUGGAUGGAGUUGAGCUUUUAGGAACUACAGCUACAGAUCUCUGAAAUAAGCACAAACAUAAAUCUUCUGCAUUAGAAGAUCAGGAUAUAUCCAGCUUGGAAGGCUUUGUGGCAGCCGUGGGAUGGGGCGCCAGCUGAAGCCAAAU